CGGGGGGAGCAAGCGUUGUUCGGAUUUACUGGGCGUAAAGGGCGCGUAGGCGGCCACCGCAAGUCGACUGUGAAAUCUCUGGGCUUAACCCAGAACGGUCAGCCGAUACUGCGGGGCUAGAGUGCAGAAGGGGCAACUGGAAUUCUCGGUGUAGCGGUGAAAUGCGUAGAUAUCGAGAGGAACACCUGCGGCGAAGGCGGGUUGCUGGGCUGACACUGACGCUGAGGCGCGAAAGCUAGGGGAGCGAAUGGGAUUAGAUACCCCGGUAGUCCUAGCCUUAAACGAUGAAUGCUUGGUGUCUGGGGUUUUAUAGUCCCCGGGUGCCGUCGCUAACGCUUUAAGCAUUCCGCCUGGGGAGUACGGUCGCAAGACUG
rnacentral:rRNA from 1 species